rnacentral:rRNA from 1 species
GACGAACGCUGGCGGCGUGCUUAACACAUGCCAGUCGAACGGAAAGGCCCUGCUUUUGUGGGGUGCUCGAGUGGCGAACGGGUGAGUAACACGUGAGUAACCUGCCCUUGACUUUGGGAUAACUUCAGGAAACUGGGGCUAAUACCGGAUAGGAGCUCCUGCUGCAUGGUGGGGGUUGGAAAGUUUCGGCGGUUGGGGAUGGACUCGCGGCUUAUCAGCUUGUUGGUGGGGUAGUGGCUUACCAAGGCUUUGACGGGUAGCCGGCCUGAGAGGGUGAACGGCCACAUUGGGACUGAGAUACGGCCCAGACUCCUACGGGGGGCAGCAGUGGGGAAUAUUGCACAAUGGGCGGAAGCCUGAUGCAGCAACGCCGCGUGCGGGAUGACGGCCUUCGGGUUGUAAACCGCUUUCGCCUGUGACGAAGCGUGAGUGACGGUAAUGGGUAAAGAAGCACCGGCUAACUACGUG